rnacentral:rRNA from 1 species
UACAGAGACUGCAAGCGUUAAUCGGAAUUACUGGGCGUAAAGCGUAUGCAGGCGGAUCGUUAAGUCGGGGGUGAAAUCCCGAGGCUCAACCUCGGAACUGCCUUCGAUACUGGCGAUCUUGAGUCCGGGAGAGGUGAGUGGAACUCCGAGUGUAGAGGUGAAAUUCGUAGAUAUUCGGAAGAACACCAGUGGCGAAGGCGGCUCACUGGCCCGGUACUGGCGCUGAGAUACGAAAGCGUGGGGAGCAAACAGG